CCAGACGGUUGGAUGACCGCGCACAGCAAACCGAAAGGUGCUGUGGGAGGAAAGUCCGGGCUCCACGGGGAUACGGUGCCGGGUAACGCCCGGCGGGGGUAACCCUAGGGAAAGUGCCACAGAAAACAAACCGCCUGCAUUUAUGUAGGUAAGGGUGAAAGGGUGCGGUAAGAGCGCACCGCUCCAAUGGUAACUGCGGAGGCAUGGUAAACCCCACCGGGAGCAAGACCGAGUAGGGACGAUGGCGGUUCGCCGCAGGUGCAUCCUCGCACUGUCGUUCGGGUAGGUCGCGUGAGGUGUCCAGCAAUGGGCAUCCCAGAUGAAUGGUCAUCUAUCGUCUUCGGACGUGGACAGAACCCGGCUUACAGACCGUCUGGCUUU
rnacentral:RNase_P_RNA from 1 species